UCAAAUGUGAAUAGAGAAAAGAAUUGUAUAUUCCAUGUGGUCCUUUGCUUUAUUGAUGUUGGUAAUUUUUGAAUAACAUAAGGAUUUGGGAAUUUAUAAUUGAAGUAGGUACACCAUAUUUACACUGUUAUUCUCAGUCUAUAGAUGGGCCCACUUUGUUUCCAAAAUCAUAGCAGAGAAUGGAAUUUGAAAACAGAAUUUUUGAGUACAUAUUCAGGAAUAUUUAUAAUGUCCCCUAUGAAGGAAUGUACAAUAGGAAAGUGAAAUACAAUAUUCAUUCAACGAAAGGUGUGUAGGUAAAGUACUGGCCUUUAUAAAAUUAAGAAAACCUAGAAAAUUGAACUGUAUGUCACAGGAAUUGACCUGGGAAUAAAAAUAUUAUCCAGAAGAAUCUCCUCCACUCCAAGUUCCUAAAAAAUUUCUAUCCAUGCCAUGCCCCUGACUCAUUUUCUCCAUUCAGAAGUCACUAGCUUUAGAGAGAUGGAGAACGAAAGUUUCCACUGUGUCACAGGAGACAUACCUAAAUUGGCACCCUCAAAACUGGUUAAUGUAAGGAAAGCUGUUUAGAGUCAGGCCAUGGCAGUUCUCAGUGACAAUAUCAUUAGGCUCUCCCUGAAAAAUCUCUUGUAUCCUUGAGAGCACUAGCUUCUUCUGUGAUGUAAUAAGUGUUGUCCUGACUGCAAAUGCCUCUCAGAUAUUACUUCAGUACCUAUAGGUUUUACUAAUUGGCCUCAAAUUCAGGGGAAACAGUCAUUAGGGUGGGAGAACAAAGACGAUGAAGAAAUCAGAGAUGGGGAGAACGAAGCUGGUCUUCUGUCUUGGUAUAAAAGAAGGAAGAAAUACAUCAUCCCUGAGAAAUCUCACUGAAGCCUUGGUAGGAGUGGAAUAUGAAAAAUAGUCCUGAGGAAGGAGGGACAACAAGUAUUGUAUCGUCAUGUCAUCUCAAGAAAAACUCUCAAAACUCAUCCUGGCUGACAAUGUAGAUUAGACGCAUCAGAUGAAAUGAAUUGAAAAACUCUCCUGGGAAUGAAAGUGGUAAGGAAAUCACAUUGAUGUAUCCUAAAUGCAGUGCUAAGAGCAAUAUUCAGACUAGUCUGUGGAGAUGCUGCUGUCAUCAGAGACCACAGACAAUUAGUGGAGAAUGAUUCAGCAUUAAACUGGGAAUGGAAGAUGAUGGUUGAUAUUGUUCUAGUAGAUCUCACUACAUUAAAAAGUGUUUCUUCCAGAUAACUGAAUGAUUAUUGUAAAGCAAAUCCCGGAAUGAACUUAUGAGACCCACCAUCAGCCUGUCAAAUAAUGUGCGAAAGAAGAAAUCUGUGUCUCUCCAGGGACAAAUUGUUGCUUUCAAACCAACAGUAAAGUGUCCAUUCUAUGAAUGAUACAUUGAUAUAUACACAUUAUAGAAGGAUGGAUACAGAGUUUCUUCAGGUCCAUGAAUGAGGUAUUCAGCAGUUGACCUGGAGUAGCAAUGAGGGUAAUUUUUGCCAACUCUUCAGACUUGAGCUCCUUCACUAGGAUCCCCAUGAUUGAAGAAAAGAACAAACUUCAGACAAUUUGUCUCAGAUUUUUAUGUAGUUAAGAUUUCCUGGUCUUGGACCUAGGAAGGAAGGAUAUCUUGCUUUCCAAUUCUUGUUUAUCCUAUAAUCCUCUCUGCUGCAUUCAUGCAAAUAGAUUACUGUGCAUUUCUUUAAUAGGUUACAAUUGCUAUUUUAAUUAUGUUGCCAAGAACUAUAGAAAAAAAGAAGGACUGUAUCAAAGCAUCAUAUGAAAAUCCGACUAAGGUAAUGUGGCCAUUGGAAAUUUGUAACUGACCUGAAACUCUUACUAGAGACAAAAUGCCAUAAAAGGUCUUCUCUAGAUAUCUGGUGUAGUAGUUGGUGUUCCCCAACAGACAGUAAAGGAUGAAUCUCUCUGUACAGAGAAAUCGGACUAGUCACAAUGAUCACAGACUAUGGAACACAUAAUUUAACAAUGACUGACUAUUUGUAAAGUCCUAGAAUCCAUUAGUUUAUUAGUCCAAAAGGCAAGAUGUCUUAUCUGGUCAUUGACAUAUGGAUAAAUAUUCAGUAUGCAGGUUCUAAUGUCUAUGAGGAUUUGGUAUCACUGUGAGUGCAAAAAUGAAAAAGUAAAGGCUUCUUUCUUCCAUGUUUUCUACGGGGAUUCAAAUAGAAUGCAUGGUUUAGAAUACAUUGGGUUUGCCAUUCUCAAAUAGACCAAUAUCUUCAAAUGAACAUUCUUUUCUUGGAAGCUGCACCCUGUCAGCAUGGCUCACGUGUAUGUGAACUGCAAGAUCUAGUCUGGGAAGGCGGUCCUGUUCAUCGAUCCAACCUGUCCCUAAUACUGAAAUACCCAAGACUUCCUCAAUCAACUCCUUUGCAAACAUGGUCUUCUCGGAUUUGAAGACAUUACAUCUACUAACAACACCAAUUCAAUUCAAGAUUACUUUCAACAGCUCCCUGGAGUGAGAAUUGUUCCUUGGGUCCUUAUAUGUAGAGAAAGACUGCAUAGGCAGACACAGUGAUCUAAUCUACCUGCAACAGAAUGAAGAGAUGAUGUGGCUGAAGCAGAUUGGAGCUCUGCAUUUAUUAAAGGGAUGGCAGUAAAAGCCCAUGCUGACAGCAGACAUUCAGACAUGCUGAAGCCAUGCUGAGACUUGAUGUUUGUCACAGAUGAUGUCAGUAUUUUCUUAUGACUGGGAUUUUCAACAAAUUGGCUUUCAUUCUAUUCCUCAUUCCAAAAAAUCUGUUGCUGUAGGCC